rnacentral:rRNA from 1 species
GUCCACGCUGUAAAACGAUGGGCACUAGGUGUUCGGGGUAUUGACCCCCUGAGUGCCGCAGCUAACGCAUUAAGUGCCCCGCCUGGGGACUACGGCCGCAAGGUUAAAACUCAAAGGAAUUGACGGGGGCCCGCACAAGCGGUGGAGCAUGUGGUUCAAUUCGACGCAACGCGAAGAACCUUACCUGGGCUAGACAACAUCGGACCGCCCCGGAAAAUGGGGUUUUCCCGCAAGGGACCGGUGGUUCAGGUGCUGCAUGGCUGUCGU